rnacentral:rRNA from 1 species
UACGGAAGGCAGCAGUGGGGAAUAUUGCACAAUGGGCGCAAGCCUGAUGCAGCCAUGCCGCGUGUAUGAAGAAGGCCUUCGGGUUGUAAAGUACUUUCAGUCGUGAGGAAGGUGUUAAGGUUAAUAACCUUAGCAAUUGACGUUAGCGACAGAAGAAGCACCGGCUAACUCCGUGCCAGCAGCCGCGGUAAUACGGAGGGUUGCGAGCGUUAAUCGGAAUUACUGGGCGUAAAGGGCACGCAGGCGGUUAAUUAAGUUGGAUGUGAAAUCCCCGGGCUUAACCUGGGAAUGGCAUUCAAGACUGGUUAGCUAGAGUCUUGUAGAGGGGGUUAGAAUUCCAUGUGUAGCGGUGAAAUGCGUAGAGAUGUGGAGGAAUACCGGUGGCGAAGGCGGCCCCUGGGACAAAGACUGACGCUCAUGUGCGAAAGCGUGGGGAGCAAACAGGAUUAGAUACC